UACGUAGGGGGCAAGCGUUGUCCGGAAUCAUUGGGCGUAAAGCGCGCGCAGGUGGGUGUGCAAGUCGGAAGUGAAAUCCCAGGGCUCAACCCUGGGGCUGCUCCCGAAACGGCACGCCUAGGGACUGGUAGAGGCUGGUAGAAUUCCCGGUGUAGCGGUGGAAUGCGUAGAGAUCGGGAAGAAUACCUGUGGCGAAGGCGGCCAGCUGGGCCAGAUCCGACACUGAGGCGCGAAAGCGUGGGGAGCAAACAGGG
rnacentral:rRNA from 1 species